UACGUAGGGGGCUAGCGUUGUCCGGAAUCAUUGGGCGUAAAGCGCGUGUAGGCGGCCCGGUAAGUCCGCUGUGAAAGUCGGGGGCUCAACCCUCGGAUGCCGGUGGAUACUGUCGGGCUCGAGUACGGAAGAGGCGAGCGGAAUUCCUGGUGUAGCGGUGAAAUGCGCAGAUAUCAGGAGGAACACCAAUUGCGAAGGCAGCUCGCUGGGACGUCACUGACGCUGAGACGCGAAAGCGUGGGGAGCAAACAGG
rnacentral:rRNA from 1 species